rnacentral:rRNA from 1 species
GACGAACGCUGGCGGCGUGCUUAACACAUGCAAGUCGAACGGUAAGGCCUUCGGGUACACGAGUGGCGAACGGGUGAGUAACACGUGGGUGAUCUGCCCCCUACUCUGGGAUAAGCCUGGGAAACUGGGUCUAAUACCGGAUAUGACCAACUUCUGCAUGGUUGUUGGUGGAAAGUUUUUUCGGUAGGGGAUGAGCCCGCGGCCUUUCAGCUUGUUGGUGGGGUAAUGGCCUACCAAGGCGACGACGGGUAGCCGGCCUGAGAGGGCGACCGGCCACACUGGGACUGCGAAACGGCCCAGGCUCCUACGGGAGGCAGCAGUGGGGAAUAUUGCACAAUGGGCGAAAGCCUGAGGCAGCGACGCCGCGUGGGGGAUGACGGCCUUCGGGUUGUAAACCCCUUUCAGUCGGGACGAAGCGAGAGUGACGGUACCGAUAGAAGAAGCACCGGCCAACUACGUGCCAGCCGCCGCAGUAAAAC